AGGAACAGGGCUUGCCCGCGAAUAGGCCCUCAAGCCUGGCGUCGCCCAUACAAACGCCUUCGUGGGUAAGCCCUGCCCCU
rnacentral:misc_RNA from 1 species